rnacentral:rRNA from 1 species
GAUGAACGCUGGCGGCGUGCCUAAUACAUGCAAGUCUAGCGAACGGACGAGAAGCUUGCUUCUCUGAUGUUAGCGGCGGACGGGUGAGUAACACGUGGAUAACCUACCUAUAAGACUGGGAUAACUUCGGGAAACCGGAGCUAAUACCGGAUAAUAUUUUGAACCGCAUGGUUCAAAAGUGAAAGACGGUCUUGCGGUCACUUAUAGAUGGAUCCGCGCUGCAUUAGCUAGUUGGUAAGGUAACGGCUUACCAAGGCAACGAUGCAUAGCCGACCUGAGAGGGGGAUCAGCCACACUGGAACUGAGCCACGCUCCAGCCUCCUACGGGUGGCAGCAGUCGGCAAUCUUCCGCAAUGGGCGAAAACCUGACGGAGCAGCCCCGCGUGAGUUCUGAAGGUCUUCGGAUCGUAAAACUCUGUUAUCAGGGAAGAACCUAUGUGUACGUAACUGUGCACAUCUUGACGGUACCUAAUCAGAAAGCCACGGCUAACUACGUG